rnacentral:lncRNA from 1 species
UGUGAAGUGCACCACACAUUUGUGUGAGAGUCAAUGAAAUAUUUUAGGAAAAAUUCACUUCUUUCAUGUUCAUAUUGUGCAACAGAGUGGGCACUCUAUUAAAAUCAUCCUCUAACUCAUUCUGUAUACCUUUAUAGAAUCUACCUCUAAAUAGAACUAAUAAAUGUAGAAAUAGUUAUGUCAAUGGGAAUGAGAAUCAGCAAGCACUACUAACUCG